ACUCCUACGGGAGGCAGCAGUGGGGAAUUUUCCGCAAUGGGCGAAAGCCUGACGGAGCAAUGCCGCGUGAAGGUAGAAGGCCUACGGGUCGUGAACUUCUUUUCCCGGAGAAGAAGCAAUGACGGUAUCUGGGGAAUAAGCAUCGGCUAACUCUGUGCCAGCAGCCGCGGUAAU
rnacentral:rRNA from 1 species